CAAACGGACCCAUGCUGCCAGCUGCCACCAAAAGGCGGGAUACGGGAUUCCAGUAACCCGUAGCCAAUCAGAUAUGUUUGAUGCGCACAACUAUGGCAGCUGAUUGUGAGCGGCGCGAAAAGACAGAAUUGAAAGAGAACAGUGUAAGACUGGUGUAAGACCUAACGUCCUAACGUAAGACCUUCGACGGCUUCGACCUUCAGUGAGUGCAACGAGGUUCAUGAUCUUCUGGUGGAGUCGAGCCAGCCAAAGCAGUUGCAGUUGUGCGAGGACGGCGGCAACGUGUCGGUUAUGGACCUGAGUUGGCACUGGCCGGCCUCGGCAGAAGAUGCCAUAUCCAUCCUGCAGGCUGGCAACCGGAGAAGGAAUUUCAGUUGGCAUUAUUUAUGGUUCUGGUGACAAUGAAGAAGGGUGCUGCCAGGAGCGGAAAGGUUUGGUGCGCCAAGCUGUCCGUAAUUGACCUUGCAGGGCCAGGGAGGGUGGCUGAUACCACAAACCAGGGUCGCUUCACGGAGGUCGCCAACACCAACCAAUCUCUGCUGGCGCUAGGUAGCUGCAUCAACGGCGGCUGGCGGACUGAAGCAAGUGCCAAUCCGGAACUCUAAGCUGACACGCCUCCUGAAGGGCUCGCUGGGGGCAACAGCAAGACAGUGAUGAUCGCUAAUCUGUUUGUAUAUAAGAAAUUUUGCACAGGCAGACUGACAGGCAUGCCGGCUGAGCAGAAGCAAGUGCCGUCAAGCGACGGCACGACCAAGCCCGGCGUCAUUCGCUUCAUCGCCAACAUCAUUACAGCCCUGAAUGCUCAGCAAGCCCAAGGUGUCAGUGGCCACUCCGAAGCCCCAGGCUGCAGUGAAACCAGCAGUCAGGCCAAAACCAAGCACCCGUUGCGGUCAAACCCAAAGAUCAAUCAGACAAGCCGGAGGCACUAUGGGUUAGUAAGCCGGACCUGACCAGCUUCUCGCAGGAGGAGACCAAUAUGGCAGACUCUCACAAUCAGGAUUACAAAAAACGCA